CAGGAUUCUCUCAGUAGCUGCGAGCGAACAGAGAAGAGCCCAGCACCGAAUCCCGCGGUCGGCACCGGCCGCCGGGAAAUGUGGUGUUCGGGAGGAUCCGUCAUCUCGAGACCGUUCGCCGCGUCCAAGUCCAUCUUGAACGGGGCCACAGCCCACAGAGGGUGCCAGGCCCGUAGCGACCGGCGUCGGUUCCGAGAGGGUCCCUCCUCAGAGUCGGGUUGCUUGAGAGUGCAGCCCUAAGCGGGUGGUAAACUCCAUCUAAGGCUAAAUAUGACCACGAGACCGAUAGCGAACAAGUACCGUGAGGGAAAGUUGAAAAGCACUUUGAAGAGAGAGUUCAAGAGUACGUGAAACCGUUCAGGGGUAAACCUGGGAAACCCGAAAGGUCGAACGGGGAAAUUCAUUCGCGCUCCGGCGUCGGCGGCGCGAGGUCGCGCGACGGUCGGCCCCUCACCGGGCCGAUCGCGCCCUCCUCGCGUCGCACCGGCGCGGAACGCGUGCACUUUUCCCCCAGUAGGACGUUGCGAUCCGUCGGGCGUCGGCCCACGGCCCGCGGUGGAGCCCCGCCCGCCCUCUGUGCGCGGGCGGGACCCGCGGUGUUCCUCCCGGCCGACCCGCUCGACGGUCUGCUCAACGGCGCGGGGCCGCGACUCAGCUCGCGUCCGGCCCGCGGCAAGCGCGCACGGUGAGUCGGCGAUCGGACCCGGUGCCGGUCCCGACCCCGGGCGACUGUUGGCCGCGGUGUCCUCGGACAGACCCCGUCUCGAAACGCCGAUCUGCAACGCUGUAGCUUUGGGUACUUCCAGGACNNNNNNNNNNNNNNNNNNNNNNNNNNNNAGCAUGUGCGCGAGUCAUUGGGACACGACUAAACCUAACGGCGCAAUGAAAGUGAAGGUCCGCCUCGCGCGGACCGAGGGACGAUGGGCGGUCGUACUCGACCGCCCCGCACUCCCGGGGCGUCUCGUCCUCAUCACGAGGGGAGGCGCACCAAGAGCGUACACGCUGGGACCCGAAAGAUGGUGAACUAUGCCUGGUCAGGACGAAGUCAGGGGAAACCCUGAUGGAGGUCCGUAGCGAUUCUGACGUGCAAAUCGAUCGUCGGAACUGGGUAUAGGGGCGAAAGACUAAUCGAACCAUCUAGUAGCUGGUUCCCUCCGAAGUUUCCCUCAGGAUAGCUGGCGCCCGUGGCGUCGAGUCUCAUCCGGUAAAGCGAAUGAUUAGAGGCAUUGGGGUCGAAACGACCUCAACCUAUUCUCAAACUUUAAAUGGGUGAGAUCUCCGGCUUGCUCGAACUUGAAGCCGCGAGACGAUGUGUACACGGAUCAG
rnacentral:rRNA from 1 species